rnacentral:rRNA from 1 species
AGCGAACGCUGGCGGCAGGCUUAUCACAUGCAAGUCGAGCGGGCCCUUCGGGGUCAGCGGCAGACGGGUGAGUAACACGUGGGAACGUACCCUUUGGUUCGGAAUAACGCUGGGAAACUAGCGCUAAUACCGGAUACGCCCUUUUGGGGAAAGGCUUGCUGCCGAAGGAUCGGCCCGCGUCUGAUUAGCUAGUUGGUGGGGUAAUGGCCUACCAAGGCGACGAUCAGUAGCUGGUCUGAGAGGAUGAUCAGCCACACUGGGACUGAGACACGGCCCAGACUCCUACGGGAGGCAGCAGUGGGGAAUAUUGGACAAUGGGCGCAAGCCUGAUCCAGCCAUGCCGCGUGAGUGAUGAAGGCCUUAGGGUUGUAAAGCUCUUUUGUCCGGGACGAUAAUGACGGUACCGGAAGAAUAAGCCCCGGCUAACUUCGUG